GGGUUAGGGUUAGGGUUAGGGUUGGAGUUAGGGUUAGUGUUGGAGCUAGGGUUAGGGUUGGGCUUGGAGCUAGGAUUUUUCUGAGUGCACUGAACCAACUCCCGAGUCUCUAGGACGUUCCUAAAAAAAUUUGAUUUUUUCCCAUAGGAAUGCAUGGGUUAGGGUUAUGGUUAGGGUUGGAGCUAGGGUUAGGGUUAGGGUUAGGGUUGGAGUUAGGGUUAGUGUUGGAGCUAGGGUUAGGGUUUGGCUUGGAGCUAGGACUUUUCUGAGUGCAAUGAACCAACUCCCGAGUCUCUUGGACGUUCCCUAAAAAAAUUUGAUUUUUUCCCAUAGGAAUGCAUGGGUUAGGGUUAGGGUUAGGGUUGGAGCUAGGGUUAGGGUUAGGGUUAGGGUUGGAGUUAGGGUUAGUGUUGGAGCUAGGGUUAGGGUUGGGCUUGGAGCUAGGAUUUUUCUGAGUGCAAUGAACCAACUCCCGAGUCUCUAGGACGUUCCUAAAAAAAUUUGAUUUUUUCCCAUAGGAAUGCAUGGGUUAGGGUUAUGGUUAGGGUUGGAGCUAGGGUUAGGGUUAGGGUUAGGGUUGGAGUUAGGGUUAGUGUUGGAGCUAGGGUUAGGGUUGGGCUUGGAGCUAGGAUUUUUCUGAGUCCAGUGAACCAACUCCCGAGUCUCUAGGACGUUCCUAAAAAAAUUUGAUUUUUUCCCAUAGGAAUGCAUGGGUUAGGGUUAGGGUUAGGGUUGGAGCUAGGGUUAGGGUUAGGGUUAGGGUUGGAGUUAGGGUUAGUGUUGGAGCUAGGGUUAGGGUUGGGCUUGGAGCUAGGAUUUUUCUGAGUGCACUGAACCAACUCCCGAGUCUCUAGGACAUUCCUAAAAAAAUUUGAUUUUUUCCCAUAGGAAUGCAUGGUUUAGGGUUAUGGUUAGGGUUAGGGUUGGAGCUAGGGUUAGGGUUAGGGUUAGGGUUGGAGUUAGGGUUAGUGUUGGAGCUAGGGUUAGGGUUGGGCUUGGAGCUAGGACUUUUCUGAGUGCAAUGAACCAACUCCCGAGUCUCUAGGACGUUCCCUAAAAAAAUUUGAUUUUUUCCCAUAGGAAUGCAUGGGUUAGGGUUAGGGUUAGGGUUGGAGCUAGGGUUAGGGUUAGGGUUAGGGUUGGAGUUAGGGUUAGUGUUGGAGCUAGGGUUAGGGUUGGGCUUGGAGCUAGGAUUUUUCUGAGUGCACUGAACCAACUCCCGAGUCUCUAGGACAUUCCUAAAAAAAUUUGAUUUUUUCCCAUAGGAAUGCAUGGGUUAGGGUUAUGGUUAGGGUUAGGGUUGGAGCUAGGGUUAGGGUUAGGGUUAGGGUUGGAGUUAGGGUUAGUGUUGGAGCUAGGGUUAGGGUUGGGCUUGGAGCUAGGAUUUUUCUGAGUGCACUGAACCAACUCCCGAGUCUCUAGGACAUUCCUAAAAAAAUUUGAUUUUUUUCCCAUAGGAAUGCAUGGGUUAGGGUUAGGGUUAGGGUUAGGGUUGGAGCUAGGGUUAGGGUUAGGGUUAGGGUUGGAGUUAGGGUUAGUGUUGGAGCUAGGGUUAGGGUUGGGCUUGGAGCUAGGAUUUUUCUGAGUGCACUGAACCAACUCCCGAGUCUCUAGGACACUCCUAAAAAAAUUUGAUUUUUUCCCAUAGGAAUGCAUGGGUUAGGGUUAGGGUUAGGGUUAGGGUUGGAGCUAGGGUUAGGGUUAGGGUUAGGGUUGGAGUUAGGGUUAGUGUUGGAGCUAGGGUUAGGGUUGGGCUUGGAGCUAGGAUUUUUCUGAGUGCACUGAACCAACUCCCGAGUCUCUAGGACAUUCCUAAAAAAAUUUGAUUUUUUCCCAUAGGAAUGCAUGGGUUAGGGUUAUGGUUAGGGUUAGGGUUGGAGCUAGGAUUUUUCUGAGUGCACUGAACCAACUCCCGAGUCUCUAGGACAUUCCUAAAAAAAUUUGAUUUUUUCCCAUAGGAAUGCAUGGGUUAGGGUUAGGGUUAGGGUUAGGGUUGGAGCUAGGGUUAGGGUUAGGGUUAGGGUUGGAGUUAGGGUUAGUGUUGGAGCUAGGGUUAGGGUUGGGCUUGGAGCUAGGAUUUUUCUGAGUGCACUGAACCAACUCCCGAGUCUCUAGGACAUUCCUAAAAAAAUUUGAGUUUUUCCCAUAGGAAUGCAUGGGUUAGGGUUAGGGUUAGGGUUGGAGCUAGGGUUAGGGUUAGGGUUAGGGUUGGAGUUAGGGUUAGUGUUGGAGCUAGGGUUAGGGUUGGGCUUGGAGCUAGGAUUUUUCUGAGUGCACUGAACCAACUCCCGAGUCUCUAGGACAUUCCUAAAAAAAUUUGAUUUUUUCCCAUAGGAAUGCAUGGGUUAGGGUUAUGGUUAGGGUUAGGGUUGGAGCUAGGGUUAGGGUUAGGGUUAGGGUUGGAGUUAGAGUUAGUGUUGGAGCUAGGGUUAGGGUUGGGCUUGGAGCUAGGAUUUUUCUGAGUGCACUGAACCAACUCCCGAGUCUCUAGGACAUUCCUAAAAAAAAUUGAUUUUUUCCCAUAGGAAUGCAUGGGUUAGGGUUAUGGUUAGGGUUAGGGUUGGAGCUAGGGUUAGGGUUAGGGUUAGGGUUGGAGUUAGGGUUAGUGUUGGAGUUAGGGUUAGGGUUGGGCUUGGAGCUAGGAUUUUUCUGAGUGCAGUGAACCAACUCCCGAGUCUCUAGGACGUUCCUAAAAAAAUUUGAUUUUUUCCCAUAGGAAUGCAUGGGUUAGGGUUAGGGUUAGGGUUGGAGCUAGGGUUAGGGUUAGGGUUAGGGUUGGAGUUAGGGUUAGUGUUGGAGCUAGGGUUAGGGUUGGGCUUGGAGCUAGGAUUUUUCUGAGUGCACUGAACCAACUCCCGAGUCUCUAGGACAUUCCUAAAAAAAUUUGAUUUUUUUCCCAUAGGAAUGCAUGGGUUAGGGUUAUGGUUAGGGUUAGGGUUGGAGCUAGGGUUAGGGUUAGGGUUAGGGUUGGAGUUAGGGUUAGUGUUGGAGCUAGGGUUAGGGUUGGGCUUGGAGCUAGGAUUUUUCUGAGUGCACUGAACCAACUCCCGAGUCUCUAGGACAUUCCUAAAAAAUUUGAUUUUUUCCCAUAGGAAUGCAUGGGUUAGGGUUAUGGUUAGGGUUAGGGUUGGAGCUAGGGUUAGGGUUAGGGUUAGGGUUGGAGUUAGGGUUAGUGUUGGAGCUAGGGUUAGGGUUGGGCUUGGAGCUAGGAUUUUUCUGAGUGCACUGAACCAACUCCCGAGUCUCUAGGACAUUCCUAAAAAAAUUUGAUUUUUUCCCAUAGGAAUGCAUGGGUUAGGGUUAUGGUUAGGGUUAGGGUUUGAGCUAGGGUUAGGGUUAGGGUUAGGGUUGGAGUUAGGGUUAGUGUUGGAGCUAGGGUUAGGGUUGGGCUUGGAGCUAGGAUUUUUCUGAGUGCACUGAACCAACUCCCGAGUCUCUAGGACAUUCCUAAAAAAAUUUGAUUUUUCCCAUAGGAAUGCAUGGGUUAGGGUUAGGGUUAGGGUUGGAGCUAGGGUUAGGGUUAGGGUUAGGGUUGGAGUUAGGGUUAGUGUUGGAGCUAGGGUUAGGGUUGGGCUUGGAGCUAGGAUUUUUCUGAGUGCACUGAACCAACUCCCGAGUCUCUAGGACAUUCCUAAAAAAAUUUGAUUUUUUCCCAUAGGAAUGCAUGGGUUAGGGUUAUGGUUAGGGUUAGGGUUGGAGCUAGGGUUAGGGUUAGGGUUAGGGUUGGAGUUAGGGUUAGUGUUGGAGCUAGGGUUAGGGUUGGGCUUGGAGCUAGGAUUUUUCUGAGUGCACUGAACCAACUCCCGAGUCUCUAGGACAUUCCUAAAAAAAAUUGAUUUUUUCCCAUAGGAAUGCAUGGGUUAGGGUUAUGGUUAGGGUUAGGGUUGGAGCUAGGGUUAGGGUUAGGGUUAGGGUUGGAGUUAGGGUUAGUGUUGGAGUUAGGGUUAGGGUUGGGCUUGGAGCUAGGAUUUUUCUGAGUGCACUGAACCAACUCCCGAGUCUCUAGGACAUUCCUAAAAAAAUUUGAUUUUUUCCCAUAGGAAUGCAUGGUUUAGGGUUAUGGUUAGGGUUAGGGUUGGAGCUAGGGUUAGGGUUAGGGUUAGGGUUGGAGUUAGGGUUAGUGUUGGAGCUAGGGUUAGGGUUGGGCUUGGAGCUAGGAUUUUUCUGAGUGCACUGAACCAACUCCCGAGUCUCUAGGACAUUCCUAAAAAAAUUUGAUUUUUUUCCCAUAGGAAUGCAUGGGUUAGGGUUAUGGUUAGGGUUAGGGUUGGAGCUAGGGUUAGGGUUAGGGUUAGGGUUGGAGUUAGGGUUAGUGUUGGAGCUAGGGUUAGGGUUGGGCUUGGAGCUAGGAUUUUUCUGAGUGCACUGAACCAACUCCCGAGUCUCUAGGACAUUCCUAAAAAAAUUUGAUUUUUUCCCAUAGGAAUGCAUGGGUUAGGGUUAUGGUUAGGGUUAGGGUUGGAGCUAGGGUUAGGGUUAGGGUUAGGGUUGGAGUUAGGGUUAGUGUUGGAGCUAGGGUUAGGGUUGGGCUUGGAGCUAGGAUUUUUCUGAGUGCACUGAACCAACUCCCGAGUCUCUAGGACAUUCCUAAAAAAAUUUGAUUUUUUCCCAUAGGAAUGCAUGGGUUAGGGUUAUGGUUAGGGUUAGGGUUUGAGCUAGGGUUAGGGUUAGGGUUAGGGUUGGAGUUAGGGUUAGUGUUGGAGCUAGGGUUAGGGUUGGGCUUGGAGCUAGGAUUUUUCUGAGUGCACUGAACCAACUCCCGAGUCUCUAGGACAUUCCUAAAAAAAUUUGAUUUUUUCCCAUAGGAAUGCAUGGGUUAGGGUUAGGGUUAGGGUUGGAGCUAGGGUUAGGGUUAGGGUUGGAGUUAGGGUUAGUGUUGGAGCUAGGGUUAGGGUUGGGCUUGGAGCUAGGAUUUUUCUGAGUGCACUGAACCAACUCCCGAGUCUCUAGGACAUUCCUAAAAAAAUUGAUUUUUUCCCAUAGGAAUGCAUGGGUUAGGGUUAUGGUUAGGGUUAGGGUUGGAGCUAGGGUUAGGGUUAGGGUUAGGGUUGGAGUUAGGGUUAGUGUUGGAGCUAGGGUUAGGGUUGGGCUUGGAGCUAGGAUUUUUCUGAGUGCACUGAACCAACUCCCGAGUCUCUAGGACAUUCCUAAAAAAAUUUGAUUUUUUUCCCAUAGGAAUGCAUGGGUUAGGGUUAUGGUUAGGGUUAGGGUUGGAGCUAGGGUUAGGGUUAGGGUUAGGGUUGGAGUUAGGGUUAGUGUUGGAGCUAGGGUUAGGGUUGGGCUUGGAGCUAGGAUUUUUCUGAGUGCACUGAACCAACUCCCGAGUCUCUAGGACGUUCCUAAAAAAAUUUGAUUUUUUCCCAUAGGAAUGCAUGGGUUAGGGUUAUGGUUAGGGUUAGGGUUGGAGCUAGGGUUAGGGUUAGGGUUAGGGUUGGAGUUAGGGUUAGUGUUGGAGCUAGGGUUAGGGUUGGGCUUGGAGCUAGGAUUUUUCUGAGUGCACUGAACCAACUCCCGAGUCUCUAGGACAUUCCUAAAAAAAUUUGAGUUUUUCCCAUAGGAAUUUAUGGGUUAGGGUUAGGGUUAGGGUUGGAGCUAGGGUUAGGGUUAGGGUUAGGGUUGGAGUUAGGGUUAGUGUUGGAGCUAGGGUUAGGGUUGGGCUUGGAGCUAGGAUUUUUCUGAGUGCACUGAACCAACUCCCGAGUCUCUAGGACAUUCCUAAAAAAAUUUGAUUUUUUCCCAUAGGAAUGCAUGGGUUAGGGUUAUGGUUAGGGUUAGGGUUGGAGCUAGGGUUAGGGUUAGGGUUAGGGUUGGAGUUAGGGUUAGUGUUGGAGCUAGGGUUAGGGUUGGGCUUGGAGCUAGGAUUUUUCUGAGUGCACUGAACCAACUCCCGAGUCUCUAGGACAUUCCUAAAAAAAUUUGAUUUUUUCCCAUAGGAAUGCAUGGGUUAGGGUUAUGGUUAGGGUUAGGGUUGGAGCUAGGGUUAGGGUUAGGGUUAGGGUUGGAGUUAGGGUUAGUGUUGGAGCUAGGGUUAGGGUUGGGCUUGGAGCUAGGAUUUUUCUGAGUGCACUGAACCAACUCCCGAGUCUCUAGGACAUUCCUAAAAAAUUUGAUUUUUUCCCAUAGGAAUGCAUGGGUUAGGGUUAUGGUUAGGGUUAGGGUUGGAGCUAGGGUUAGGGUUAGGGUUAGGGUUGGAGUUAGGGUUAGUGUUGGAGCUAGGGUUAGGGUUGGGCUUGGAGCUAGGAUUUUUCUGAGUGCACUGAACCAACUCCCGAGUCUCUAGGACAUUCCUAAAAAAAUUUGAUUUUUUCCCAUAGGAAUGCAUGGGUUAGGGUUAGGGUUAGGGUUGGAGCUAGGGUUAGGGUUAGGGUUAGGGUUGGAGAUAGGGUUAGUGUUGGAGCUAGGGUUAGGGUUGGGCUUGGAGCUAGGAUUUUUCUGAGUCCACUGAACCAACUCCCGAGUCUCUAGGACGUUCCUAAAAAAAUUUGAUUUUUUCCCAUAGGAAUGCAUGGGUUAGGGUUAGGGUUAGGGUUGGAGCUAGGGUUAGGGUUAGGGUUAGGGUUGGAGUUAGGGUUAGUGUUGGAGCUAGGGUUAGGGUUGGGCUUGGAGCUAGGAUUUUUCUGAGUGCACUGAACCAACUCCCGAGUCUCUAGGACAUUCCUAAAAAAAUUUGAUUUUUUCCCAUAGGAAUGCAUGGGUUAGGGUUAGGGUUAGGGUUGGAGCUAGGGUUAGGGUUAGGGUUAGGGUUGGAGUUAGGGUUAGUGUUGGAGCUAGGGUUAGGGUUGGGCUUGGAGCUAGGAUUUUUCUGAGUGCACUGAACCAACUCCCGAGUCUCUAGGACAUUCCUAAAAAAAUUUGAGUUUUUCCCAUAGGAAUGCAUGGGUUAGGGUUAGGGUUAGGGUUGGAGCUAGGGUUAGGGUUAGGGUUAGGGUUGGAGUUAGGGUUAGUGUUGGAGCUAGGGUUAGGGUUGGGCUUGGAGCUAGGAUUUUUCUGAGUGCACUGAACCAACUCCCGAGUCUCUAGGACAUUCCUAAAAAAAUUUGAUUUUUUCCCAUAGGAAUGCAUGGGUUAGGGUUAUGGUUAGGGUUAGGGUUGGAGCUAGGGUUAGGGUUAGGGUUAGGGUUGGAGUUAGAGUUAGUGUUGGAGCUAGGGUUAGGGUUGGGCUUGGAGCUAGGAUUUUUCUGAGUGCACUGAACCAACUCCCGAGUCUCUAGGACGUUCCUAAAAAAAUUUGAUUUUUUCCCAUAGGAAUGCAUGGGUUAGGGUUAGGGUUAGGGUUGGAGCUAGGGUUAGGGUUAGGGUUAGGGUUGGAGUUAGGGUUAGUGUUGGAGCUAGGGUUAGGGUUGGGCUUGGAGCUAGGAUUUUUCUGAGUGCACUGAACCAACUCCCGAGUCUCUAGGACAUUCCUAAAAAAAUUUGAUUUUUUCCCAUAGGAAUGCAUGGGUUAGGGUUAGGGUUAGGGUUGGAGCUAGGGUUAGGGUUAGGGUUAGGGUUGGAGUUAGGGUUAGUGUUGGAGCUAGGGUUAGGGUUGGGCUUGGAGCUAGGAUUUUUCUGAGUGCACUGAACCAACUCCCGAGUCUCUAGGACAUUCCUAAAAAAAUUUGAGUUUUUCCCAUAGGAAUGCAUGGGUUAGGGUUAGGGUUAGGGUUGGAGCUAGGGUUAGGGUUAGGGUUAGGGUUGGAGUUAGGGUUAGUGUUGGAGCUAGGGUUAGGGUUGGGCUUGGAGCUAGGAUUUUUCUGAGUGCACUGAACCAACUCCCGAGUCUCUAGGACAUUCCUAAAAAAAUUUGAUUUUUUUCCCAUAGGAAUGCAUGGUUUAGGGUUAUGGUUAGGGUUAGGGUUGGAGCUAGGGUUAGGGUUAGGGUUAGGGUUGGAGUUAGAGUUAGUGUUGGAGCUAGGGUUAGGGUUGGGCUUGGAGCUAGGAUUUUUCUGAGUGCACUGAACCAACUCCCGAGUCUCUAGGACGUUCCUAAAAAAAUUUGAUUUUUUCCCAUAGGAAUGCAUGGGUUAGGGUUAUGGUUAGGGUUAGGGUUGGAGCUAGGGUUAGGGUUAGGGUUAGGGUUGGAGUUAGGGUUAGUGUUGGAGCUAGGGUUAGGGUUGGGCUUGGAGCUAGGAUUUUUCUGAGUGCACUGAACCAACUCCCGAGUCUCUAGGACGUUCCUAAAAAAAUUUGAUUUUUUCCCAUAGGAAUGCAUGGGUUAGGGUUAGGGUUAGGGUUGGAGCUAGGGUUAGGGUUAGGGUUAGGGUUGGAGUUAGGGUUAGUGUUGGAGCUAGGGUUAGGGUUGGGCUUGGAGCUAGGAUUUUUCUGAGUGCACUGAACCAACUCCCGAGUCUCUAGGACAUUCCUAAAAAAAUUUGAUUUUUUCCCAUAGGAAUGCAUGGGUUAGGGUUAGGGUUAGGGUUGGAGCUAGGGUUAGGGUUAGGGUUGCAGUUAGGGUUAGUGUUGGAGCUAGGGUUAGGGUUGGGCUUGGAGCUAGGAUUUUUCUGAGUGCACUGAACCAACUCCCGAGUCUCUAGGACAUUCCUAAAAAAAUUUGAUUUUUUCCCAUAGGAAUGCAUGGGUUAGGGUUAUGGUUAGGGUUAGGGUUGGAGCUAGGGUUAGGGUUAGGGUUAGGGUUGGAGUUAGAGUUAGUGUUGGAGCUAGGGUUAGGGUUGGGCUUGGAGCUAGGAUUUUUCUGAGUGCACUGAACCAACUCCCGAGUCUCUAGGACAUUCCUAAAAAAAUUUGAUUUUUUCCCAUAGGAAUGCAUGGGUUAGGGUUAUGGUUAGGGUUAGGGUUGGAGCUAGGGUUAGGGUUAGGGUUAGGGUUGGAGUUAGGGUUAGUGUUGGAGCUAGGGUUAGGGUUGGGCUUGGAGCUAGGAUUUUUCUGAGUGCACUGAACCAACUCCCGAGUCUCUAGGACGUUCCUAAAAAAUUUGAUUUUUUCCCAUAGGAAUGCAUGGGUUAGGGUUAGGGUUAGGGUUGGAGCUAGGGUUAGGGUUAGGGUUAGGGUUGGAGUUAGGGUUAGUGUUGGAGCUAGGGUUAGGGUUGGGCUUGGAGCUAGGAUUUUUCUGAGUGCACUGAACCAACUCCCGAGUCUCUAGGACAUUCCUAAAAAAAUUUGAUUUUUUUCCCAUAGGAAUGCAUGGGUUAGGGUUAUGGUUAGGGUUAGGGUUGGAGCUAGGGUUAGGGUUAGGGUUAGGGUUGGAGUUAGGGUUAGUGUUGGAGCUAGGGUUAGGGUUGGGCUUGGAGCUAGGAUUUUUCUGAGUGCACUGAACCAACUCCCGAGUCUCUAGGACAUUCCUAAAAAAAUUUGAUUUUUUUCCCAUAGGAAUGCAUGGGUUAGGGUUAUGGUUAGGGUUAGGGUUGGAGCUAGGGUUAGGGUUAGGGUUAGGGUUGGAGUUAGGGUUAGUGUUGGAGCUAGGGUUAGGGUUGGGCUUGGAGCUAGGAUUUUUCUGAGUGCACUGAACCAACUCCCGAGUCUCUAGGACAUUCCUAAAAAAAUUUGAUUUUUUCCCAUAGGAAUGCAUGGGUUAGGGUUAGGGUUAGGGUUGGAGCUAGGGUUAGGGUUAGGGUUAGGGUUGGAGUUAGGGUUAGUGUUGGAGCUAGGGUUAGGGUUGGGCUUGGAGCUAGGAUUUUUCUGAGUGCACUGAACCAACUCCCGAGUCUCUAGGACAUUCCUAAAAAAAUUUGAUUUUUUCCCAUAGGAAUGCAUGGGUUAGGGUUAUGGUUAGGGUUAGGGUUGGAGCUAGGGUUAGGGUUAGGGUUAGGGUUGGAGUUAGGGUUAGUGUUGGAGCUAGGGUUAGGGUUGGGCUUGGAGCUAGGAUUUUUCUGAGUGCACUGAACCAACUCCCGAGUCUCUAGGACAUUCCUAAAAAAAUUUGAUUUUUUCCCAUAGGAAUGCAUGGGUUAGGGUUAUGGUUAGGGUUAGGGUUGGAGCUAGGGUUAGGGUUAGGGUUAGGGUUGGAGUUAGGGUUAGUGUUGGAGCUAGGGUUAGGGUUGGGCUUGGAGCUAGGAUUUUUCUGAGUGCACUGAACCAACUCCCGAGUCUCUAGGACGUUCCUAAAAAAAUUUGAUUUUUUCCCAUAGGAAUGCAUGGGUUAGGGUUAGGGUUAGGGUUGGAGCUAGGGUUAGGGUUAGGGUUAGGGUUGGAGUUAGGGUUAGUGUUGGAGCUAGGGUUAGGGUUGGGCUUGGAGCUAGGAUUUUUCUGAGUGCACUGAACCAACUCCCGAGUCUCUAGGACAUUCCUAAAAAAUUUGAUUUUUUCCCAUAGGAAUGCAUGGGUUAGGGUUAGGGUUAGGGUUGGAGCUAGGGUUAGGGUUAGGGUUGCAGUUAGGGUUAGUGUUGGAGCUAGGGUUAGGGUUGGGCUUGGAGCUAGGAUUUUUCUGAGUGCACUGAACCAACUCCCGAGUCUCUAGGACAUUCCUAAAAAAAUUUGAUUUUUUCCCAUAGGAAUGCAUGGGUUAGGGUUAUGGUUAGGGUUAGGGUUGGAGCUAGGGUUAGGGUUAGGGUUAGGGUUGGAGUUAGGGUUAGUGUUGGAGCUAGGGUUAGGGUUGGGCUUGGAGCUAGGAUUUUUCUGAGUGCACUGAACCAACUCCCGAGUCUCUAGGACGUUCCUAAAAAAAUUUGAUUUUUUCCCAUAGGAAUGCAUGGGUUAGGGUUAGGGUUAGGGUUGGAGCUAGGGUUAGGGUUAGGGUUAGGGUUGGAGUUAGGGUUAGUGUUGGAGCUAGGGUUAGGGUUGGGCUUGGAGCUAGGAUUUUUCUGAGUGCACUGAACCAACUCCCGAGUCUCUAGGACAUUCCUAAAAAAAUUUGAGUUUUUCCCAUAGGAAUUUAUGGGUUAGGGUUAGGGUUAGGGUUGGAGCUAGGGUUAGGGUUAGGGUUAGGGUUGGAGUUAGGGUUAGUGUUGGAGCUAGGGUUAGGGUUGGGCUUGGAGCUAGGAUUUUUCUGAGUGCACUGAACCAACUCCCGAGUCUCUAGGACAUUCCUAAAAAAAUUUGAUUUUUUCCCAUAGGAAUGCAUGGGUUAGGGUUAUGGUUAGGGUUAGGGUUGGAGCUAGGGUUAGGGUUAGGGUUAGGGUUGGAGUUAGGGUUAGUGUUGGAGCUAGGGUUAGGGUUGGGCUUGGAGCUAGGAUUUUUCUGAGUGCACUGAACCAACUCCCGAGUCUCUAGGACAUUCCUAAAAAAAUUUGAUUUUUUCCCAUAGGAAUGCAUGGGUUAGGGUUAUGGUUAGGGUUAGGGUUGGAGCUAGGGUUAGGGUUAGGGUUAGGGUUGGAGUUAGGGUUAGUGUUGGAGCUAGGGUUAGGGUUGGGCUUGGAGCUAGGAUUUUUCUGAGUGCACUGAACCAACUCCCGAGUCUCUAGGACAUUCCUAAAAAAAUUUGAUUUUUUCCCAUAGGAAUGCAUGGGUUAGGGUUAUGGUUAGGGUUAGGGUUGGAGCUAGGGUUAGGGUUAGGGUUAGGGUUGGAGUUAGGGUUAGUGUUGGAGCUAGGGUUAGGGUUGGGCUUGGAGCUAGGAUUUUUCUGAGUGCACUGAACCAACUCCCGAGUCUCUAGGACAUUCCUAAAAAAAUUUGAUUUUUUCCCAUAGGAAUGCAUGGGUUAGGGUUAGGGUUAGGGUUGGAGCUAGGGUUAGGGUUAGGGUUAGGGUUGGAGAUAGGGUUAGUGUUGGAGCUAGGGUUAGGGUUGGGCUUGGAGCUAGGAUUUUUCUGAGUCCACUGAACCAACUCCCGAGUCUCUAGGACGUUCCUAAAAAAAUUUGAUUUUUUCCCAUAGGAAUGCAUGGGUUAGGGUUAGGGUUAGGGUUGGAGCUAGGGUUAGGGUUAGGGUUAGGGUUGGAGUUAGGGUUAGUGUUGGAGCUAGGGUUAGGGUUGGGCUUGGAGCUAGGAUUUUUCUGAGUGCACUGAACCAACUCCCGAGUCUCUAGGACAUUCCUAAAAAAAUUUGAUUUUUUCCCAUAGGAAUGCAUGGGUUAGGGUUAGGGUUAGGGUUGGAGCUAGGGUUAGGGUUAGGGUUAGGGUUGGAGUUAGGGUUAGUGUUGGAGCUAGGGUUAGGGUUGGGCUUGGAGCUAGGAUUUUUCUGAGUGCACUGAACCAACUCCCGAGUCUCUAGGACAUUCCUAAAAAAAUUUGAGUUUUUCCCAUAGGAAUGCAUGGGUUAGGGUUAGGGUUAGGGUUGGAGCUAGGGUUAGGGUUAGGGUUAGGGUUGGAGUUAGGGUUAGUGUUGGAGCUAGGGUUAGGGUUGGGCUUGGAGCUAGGAUUUUUCUGAGUGCACUGAACCAACUCCCGAGUCUCUAGGACAUUCCUAAAAAAUUUGAUUUUUUCCCAUAGGAAUGCAUGGGUUAGGGUUAUGGUUAGGGUUAGGGUUGGAGCUAGGGUUAGGGUUAGGGUUAGGGUUGGAGUUAGAGUUAGUGUUGGAGCUAGGGUUAGGGUUGGGCUUGGAGCUAGGAUUUUUCUGAGUGCACUGAACCAACUCCCGAGUCUCUAGGACGUUCCUAAAAAAAAUUGAUUUUUUCCCAUAGGAAUGCAUGGGUUAGGGUUAGGGUUAGGGUUGGAGCUAGGGUUAGGGUUAGGGUUAGGGUUGGAGUUAGGGUUAGUGUUGGAGCUAGGGUUAGGGUUGGGCUUGGAGCUAGGAUUUUUCUGAGUGCACUGAACCAACUCCCGAGUCUCUAGGACAUUCCUAAAAAAAUUUGAGUUUUUCCCAUAGGAAUGCAUGGGUUAGGGUUAGGGUUAGGGUUGGAGCUAGGGUUAGGGUUAGGGUUAGGGUUGGAGUUAGGGUUAGUGUUGGAGCUAGGGUUAGGGUUGGGCUUGGAGCUAGGAUUUUUCUGAGUGCACUGAACCAACUCCCGAGUCUCUAGGACAUUCCUAAAAAAAUUUGAGUUUUUCCCAUAGGAAUGCAUGGGUUAGGGUUAGGGUUAGGGUUGGAGCUAGGGUUAGGGUUAGGGUUAGGGUUGGAGUUAGGGUUAGUGUUGGAGCUAGGGUUAGGGUUGGGCUUGGAGCUAGGAUUUUUCUGAGUGCACUGAACCAACUCCCGAGUCUCUAGGACAUUCCUAAAAAAAUUUGAUUUUUUUCCCAUAGGAAUGCAUGGUUUAGGGUUAUGGUUAGGGUUAGGGUUGGAGCUAGGGUUAGGGUUAGGGUUAGGGUUGGAGUUAGGGUUAGUGUUGGAGCUAGGGUUAGGGUUGGGCUUGGAGCUAGGAUUUUUCUGAGUGCACUGAACCAACUCCCGAGUCUCUAGGACGUUCCUAAAAAAAUUUGAUUUUUUCCCAUAGGAAUGCAUGGGUUAGGGUUAUGGUUAGGGUUAGGGUUGGAGCUAGGGUUAGGGUUAGGGUUAGGGUUGGAGUUAGGGUUAGUGUUGGAGCUAGGGUUAGGGUUGGGCUUGGAGCUAGGAUUUUUCUGAGUGCACUGAACCAACUCCCGAGUCUCUAGGACGUUCCUAAAAAAAUUUGAUUUUUUCCCAUAGGAAUGCAUGGGUUAGGGUUAGGGUUAGGGUUGGAGCUAGGGUUAGGGUUAGGGUUAGGGUUGGAGUUAGGGUUAGUGUUGGAGCUAGGGUUAGGGUUGGGCUUGGAGCUAGGAUUUUUCUGAGUGCACUGAACCAACUCCCGAGUCUCUAGGACAUUCCUAAAAAAAUUUGAUUUUUUCCCAUAGGAAUGCAUGGGUUAGGGUUAGGGUUAGGGUUGGAGCUAGGGUUAGGGUUAGGGUUGCAGUUAGGGUUAGUGUUGGAGCUAGGGUUAGGGUUGGGCUUGGAGCUAGGAUUUUUCUGAGUGCACUGAACCAACUCCCGAGUCUCUAGGACAUUCCUAAAAAAUUUUGAUUUUUUCCCAUAGGAAUGCAUGGGUUAGGGUUAUGGUUAGGGUUAGGGUUGGAGCUAGGGUUAGGGUUAGGGUUAGGGUUGGAGUUAGAGUUAGUGUUGGAGCUAGGGUUAGGGUUGGGCUUGGAGCUAGGAUUUUUCUGAGUGCACUGAACCAACUCCCGAGUCUCUAGGACAUUCCUAAAAAAAUUUGAUUUUUUCCCAUAGGAAUGCAUGGGUUAGGGUUAUGGUUAGGGUUAGGGUUGGAGCUAGGGUUAGGGUUAGGGUUAGGGUUGGAGUUAGGGUUAGUGUUGGAGCUAGGGUUAGGGUUGGGCUUGGAGCUAGGAUUUUUCUGAGUGCACUGAACCAACUCCCGAGUCUCUAGGACGUUCCUAAAAAAAUUUGAUUUUUUCCCAUAGGAAUGCAUGGGUUAGGGUUAGGGUUAGGGUUGGAGCUAGGGUUAGGGUUAGGGUUAGGGUUGGAGUUAGGGUUAGUGUUGGAGCUAGGGUUAGGGUUGGGCUUGGAGCUAGGAUUUUUCUGAGUGCACUGAACCAAC
rnacentral:lncRNA from 1 species